UUGACUGCGGGCGCGAUAAAGCAUCGUCCAUUUCGCUCUGGCAACAUUGCAUUCUUGCAUGACUUGCCGCCGCAUCUACGCCGUGGCCGCCGCGUCGCCUUCCGCGUCGUGACAAAUGUAGCAUGCGAUUCCUGCUCGUUUCUGGCGCUGUACCAGGAAGGAUUUCCUUCGUCUACUUCGACGUGUCCCAUGUAAAGACCCACGAAAUAUCUUGAAGAUGAUGCACUACAGGAAUUGAUCACUCGAGAAAUCCGCCCUUGAACGCAACUUACCUUUGGCUUUCGUGCCCCAUCGCGGCACCCAGAAAGCGUUUGCCAAGCACAUCUUGACGGAUGAUGCGGCAUUGUAAUAUUUGGUCGGCAAUCGUCGGCACCCUCCUGCCAAGCAGGGGGAUCAUGGUAGUCACAGGAAGCACUACAAAAGUCACGGACAGCGACGUGCGGCAAAACAGGCAG